rnacentral:rRNA from 1 species
UACGGAGGGUGCGAAGCGUUAUCCGGCAUUUACUGGGGUUUAAAAGGGGUGUGUAGGCGGGCUUUUUAAGUCAGUGGUGAAAUCUCCGGGCUCAACCCGGAAACUGCCAUUGAUACUAUUAGUCUUGAAUUUUUGUUGAGGUAGGCGGAAUAAGUCAUGUAGCGGUGAAAUGCUUAGAUAUGACUUAGAACACCAAUUGCGAAGGCAGCUUGCUAAACAAAUAAUUGACGCUGAGGCACGAAAGCGUGGGGAUCAAACAGG